AGAGAGAGAUUUUGAAGAAUAGAAUACUAGAAAGCAGAUGGCUAACUUCUCAUUUAUUUUCACAAAACAAAAACCUCGGUAGAGAUGGAUUUCAAAACUUCAGAGGUGUUUAAAGAAAAACACCUGAAAGUGAAAGAGAAUAGUAGAAAGUGCAUUGUGAGAAGCGAAGGAGGAAGCAUGGACCAUGAGGGGGGUGAAGAGAGGAGAUGAGGUUCACGAACAUUCCCAGGAAACCGAUCAUGUUGCUGGACGGAGGAAUUAGUGGUCUGGGGGAAAGAGAAGGUUCUGGGACUCUUCCACCAUGGGGCAAAGGAUUGUCAUGAUGGUUAUUUAUUUAUUAAUUAAUUUAUUUAUCUUUUUGGGGCCAAAUCCGUGGCACAUGGAAAUUCCCCAGCUAGGGGUUGAAUUGAAGCUACAGCUGCUGGCUUACACCACAGCCACAGCAAAACGGGACCUGAGCUUCGUCUGCAAACUACACAGCAGCUUGCAGGAACACUGAAUCCUUAACCCACUGAGCAGCGCCAGGGAUCGAACCCACAUCCUUAUGGAUACAGCAGGUUCGUUUCUGCUGAGCCACAAUGUGAACUCCGAAGUGUGCCUACAUAUGACAUACAAAGUUUUUGCAGCAUUUUUCUUCUUUUUUUUUCUUCUCGCUUUUUUUUUUUUUAAGUCCAUACCUGCAGCAUGUGGAAGUUCCUGGGCUAGGGGUCAAAUUGUAGCUGCAGUCAUAGCAAUGAGAGAUCUGAGCUGCAUCUGUGACCUGUGCUGCACCUUUUGGCAAUGCCAGGUCCUUAAUCCAUGGACAAGGCCAGGGAUCAAACUCAAAUCCUCACAGACACUAUUAGGUUCUUAACCCAACUGAGCCACAACGGGAAUUCCUCAGUGUCUUUAUAAUAAUGAAAACUUGGAAAUCACCUAAAUGUUUGCCAGCUGGAAAUGGGUUAGGGACAUUCAGCAUCAUCCGUGGGACUGGGAUGAUGUGUAACCAUUAAAGUGCUUCUGGGGCAACCAGGCAGGACAGGGAUGUGUUAGCAGGUUUACAGAAAUCUCCUUCCAAUCCAGGAAUGAACAAAACAGAUACACCAAAGAAAACAUCAUGUAACAGCGAAUCCAGGGACAUUUCCCAGCCCCAUACCACAGACUUCAGGAAAUACAGAUCUAAAUGCAGAACAUCUGAUACAUCCAAUACACAGAACAAUUAAGCCUACAUGGAUAUAAAGUUCUGGGAAUCAACCCAUAACUCCCUUUUUGAGUGAGCAGCCCAAUGCGGUGAGAAGAGGUAGGAUUUCUGAAAACCCCACUAAAAACUCUUCUUGAUUUGGAGGGACAGCAAAUGGAGGCCUGAGUUGGCAAUAGAAAAGAUCUGGAAUGUUCCACCUGGUGCCCUUUUUCCUCCGUGAGAGCCAAACAUAAGUCCAAGGUCGUAGUGGUGGGAUAGAGGCCAGAAAUCAGCUUCUAGCAGCACCUCUCUGAGGGGCCAGCAGCUGCGAGCAGAGCAAGCUGGGGGUGUGGAUGGGACAGUGCCCAAGGCCACUGCAGGCAAGAUAGUCAUGCUAUAGGCUGGAUUCUGCCUCCAGCUUCAAUAGGCCAAAAAAAAAGAUACAAACUCAUACCCCCAGCCCCGCCACCAUCCAGGCGAGGGGGCAGGCUCUGUAUUCAUUGGCCUGAGCCUUUAGACAAGGGUUUCAACAAAAAUAAGAUGAAAGUGAAAAGAGUUCCUAGUUUCAAUGCUCCUAGAACCACUCCCUUCCCCCACCUUCCCAGGCAGCUUUGGGACCAACAGAUACAAAUGAUGCUGAUCCAAGCCCUUAGCUCACUCACGCUCUAUAGGGAAGAUGCAGAUGUGUUCAGGUAAACAGGGACAUCAGCCAAAAGACCACGUCAUUACUGUUUUAUGGUGUGAAGAGCAGGCAGUGUAGAAUGGCCUCUGUUUCAGAAUGGUGAAGCAAGAAGAAACCCAGCUUGGGGUCUGUGCAGUAAUUCUGCCACUCACAAUUUUUUUUUUUUUUGUCUUUUUUUUUAUAGGGCCGCACCCAUGGCAUAUGGAGGUUCCCAGGCUAGGGGUCUAAUCAGAGCUGUAGCUGCCAGCCUACACCACAGCCACACUCCGAUUGGACCCGUAGCCUGGGAAACUCCAUGUGCCGAGGGAGUAGCCCAAGAAAUGGCAAAAAAGACCAAAAAAAAAAAGUCAGAAACUUGAGAGUGGGCCCUCCUGUAUGUUUCAUUCAGGCUAUAGGCAACAUUUUUUUUUACGACUUUUACAAAAGGUGCAGAGCCAGCACCAUGAAGCACAGGCCACAGAGCACAAGGGUUAGAGCUAAAGGCAUGGAUCCAAUAUGGAACCAGGUUUGCGCUUCUCUGUUUCAGGAGGUCAAAAUGCAUAAGAAAAAGAAAAGGCUCGCUUUGGCAGAAAAUUUCAGAAAACUGCUUCUAUGCUUGAGGAAAUAACAAAGGAGCUUUUGAUCAAAAUGACAGAAUGGAAAGGACUGGAGAGACCCAGGACUUAUAGGGUAUGCAGUCGCUGGAAGACU
rnacentral:lncRNA from 1 species